rnacentral:misc_RNA from 1 species
GAUGAAGAACGCAGCGAAAUGCGAUAAGUAAUGUGAAUUGCAGAAUUCAGUGAAUCAUCGAAUCUUUGAACGCACAUUGCGCCCGCCAGUAUUCUGGCGAGCAUGCCUGUUCGAGCGUCAUUUCAACCAUCAAGCCCCAGGCUUGUGUUGGAGCCCUGCGGCUGCCGCAGCCUCCCAAAACCAGUGGCGGGCUCGCUAUCACACCGAGUGCAGUAGUUUACUCUUCGCUCAGGGCGUGUGGCGGGUGCUAGCCGUGAAACCCCCAACUUCUCAAGGUUGACCUCGGAUCAGGUAGGAAUACCCGCUGAACUUAAGCAUACAAUAAGCGGAGGA